UCCUGCUCAAUGGUCAGCUCUGGUCUUCAUCUUACUGUCAUCAGAAAAAGAUCUGGACGUGUUUGACCUGAAGAAAUACUCUGCUUCAGAGGAGGCUCUUCUGAAGCUGCUGCCAGUUGUCAAAUCCUCUAACAAAGCCCUACUGAGCAGCUGUAACCUCUCAGAGAGAAGCUGUGAAGCUCUGUCCUCAGUUCUCAGCUCCCAGUCCUCUAGUCUGAGACACCUGGACCUGAGGAACAAUGACCUGAAGGAUUCAGGGGUGAAGCUUCUGUCUGCUGGACUGAAGGGUCCACACUGUUCCCUGGAGACUCUCAAGCUGUCAGGAUGUCUGAUCACAGAGGAAGGCUGUGCAUCUCUG